CAGCACCUCAAGUGGUCAGGAUGAUUAUUGGGCCUAAAGCAUCCGUAGCCGGCUCUGUAAGUUUUCGGUUAAAUCUGUACGCUCAACGUACAGGCUGCCGGGAAUACUGCAGCGCUAGGAGUGGGAGAGGUUGACGGUACUCGGUAGGAAGGGGUAAAAUCCUUUGAUCUAUUGAUGACCACCUGUGGCGAAGGCGGUCUACCAGAACACGUCCGACGGUGAGGGAUGAAAGCUGGGGGAGCAAACCGGAUUAGAUACCCGAGUAGUCC
rnacentral:rRNA from 1 species